rnacentral:tRNA from 1 species
CAGGGAGACAACAAAAUGUAAAUAUUAAUUUUGUCACCUUAGGUCGAUCGGUAUCUCAGAUUCUUAAUUUUUAAGAAUUUCAGUUUCUAAGUUUUUUCUAGGUCACACCCAUCACUUUUUCCUGGGCCAUUAGCUCAGGUGGUUAGAGCGCACCCCUGAUAAGGGUGAGGUCCCUGGUUCAAGUCCAGGAUGGCCCAUAUCUCUAUGUUGGGGGUAUAGCUCAGUUGGUAGAGCGCCUGCUUUGCAAGCAGGAUGUCAGCGGUUCGAGUCCGCUUACCUCCACUGAAUACCACCUCUUACAUAUUUUGAAAGGGGGAAAUUGUUUUGAGUUGUGUUCUAUUUUGCUCUGAGCGAAUCUAGCUUCCUAUUUUUAUUUAAUAAAUAAGAUGCUGGACUCAUUGAAUUAUUAUUCAUUGUUUUCAGAGAACCUUGACAACUGCAUAGAUUUUUUUGAAGACAAUAAGCAUCUUUAAUGAUGCAGAUUUAUUAUUUGUGCGAAUGCAUUAAAUAACAAUUCUAUUAAGCUGAUGCUUCAAUCAUUAUUGAAGUUAUU